GAUCCUGGCUCAGGAUGGACGCUGGCGGCGUGCUUAACACAUGCAAGUCGAGCGAAGCACUUAAGUUUGAUUCUUCGGAUGAAGACUUUUGUGACUGGGCGGCGGACGGGUGAGUAACGCGUGGGUAACCUGCCUCAUACAGGGGGAUAACAGUUAGAAAUGGCUGCUAAUACCGCAUAAGACCACAGUACUGCAUGGUACAGUGGUAAAAACUCCGGUGGUAUGAGAUGGACCCGCGU
rnacentral:rRNA from 1 species